UCUUGUACACACCGCCCGUCACACCAUGAGAGUUGAUAAUACCAGAAGUCGGUAUUCUAACCGCAAGGAGGAAGCCGCCCAAGGUAGGAUUGAUGAUUAGGGUGAAGUCGUAACAAGGUAUCCGUACGAGAACGUGCGGAUGGAUCACCUCCUUUCUAUGGAG
rnacentral:rRNA from 1 species